GCAAGUCCAAGUACACGUCCUUGAACGACGGAAACUGCGAACGGCUCAUUAAAUCAGUUGCGAUCUACUCGGCGUUCCGCGCCGCCGGAUAACCGUAGUAAUUCUAGGGCUAAUACGUGCGAAGCGCCCGAAGCCGCGAGGCGACGGGCGUUCUCGCCGGAUGUAGGAACCGACCCGGGGACCGCCGGGGCAACCCGGCGCCCCCGAGACGGGGCGAACCACGGUGAAAUGACGGAUCGUCGGCCCCGCGCCGGCGACUCGCCGAAUGAGUUUCUGACCUAUCAACUCGAGACGGCGGGGGUAGAGGCCCGCCGCGGUAACGACGGUAACGGGGAAUCAGGGUUCGAUUCCGGAGAGGGAGCCCGAGAAACGGCUACCACUUCCAAGAAGGCAGCAGGCGCGCAACUUACCCUAAUCUCGAUUCGA
rnacentral:rRNA from 1 species